GGGCGUGUAGCUCAGUGGUAGUAGCAUUCGUCUUAUAAGCGAAAGGUCGGAGGUUCGAUCCCUCCCACGCCCA
rnacentral:tRNA from 1 species